GCUGCACAUUUUUGCUUGUUUCAAAACAUCAUGUAAGUGCCUAAAUACAUAAAAUAAUAUAAACAAGUCAGCACAAAAAAACACACGACGGUUAUGUAUACAAAACGACGUAUUAUAAUAUUUCACACGACGUACUGAAAUAGAUGAGGACGUUAUAAUAUAUUUAUCACGACGGUACGUUAUAAUAUAAUAUUUCACACGACGUGGUUAGUUAGUUAAGACGACGAAAUAUAUAAACCAACGACGUAUUAUUUUAGAAUUACGAACCUCAUAUAUACAGCCACCACAGUAGCUCCAAUUUCUUCCAUGCCUGCAAAUUGUGUAAUAUCUUCAGGCAGGAGGAAGGUAUCGCGAUCACUCCCAAACACCUCCUUAUCAAUUUUAAAUUCCAAGAUCUUAUCCUCAGGCAGGAGUGUCGUUUCCACAUAACGACAAAGGCUUUUCAAAGAAGAUGGCGCCUCCAUAUUUGAAUAAUCACCAACUUCAAUAACCUGUUU
rnacentral:lncRNA from 1 species